GGCCGUGGGACAAUGGGGAGGGGUGCUGACUCAGAAACGAGGAUGCACAGGAGACCCUGACUUUGCAGGGAAGACGGUGAGUUCACCGUCUGAUAUCUUGCACUGGAGGUGCUGUUGACCCUCUUAGUGCAAAUGCCCAGCAGGCAGAGGGGAGAUGGGUGGAUGAGAAGAUGAACCAGGGUGCUGAGGAAGACAGCACUGGAGCCCACACAUCGUCUGUGUUUAAAAGGAAGCUUAUAAAUAUUUAAAUUAGUCAUCCAGGUAUGCUAUAAAUUACAUGACCCUGAAGUCAUGGGAAUUGAUAGAGGCUCAGUGAGGUCACCAUGGGAACUGCCUUGUGGGGACAAGGGGCGCCCCUCCUCCUCUGCGCAUGCUCAUAAGGUCCUGAGCUGGUGAACCUCCCAUUACUGCCCUGACUCUGCCAUGGGCACCGGGCUUCUCUGCUGGGCGACCCUCUGGCUCCUGGAGGCAGCUUUUGUCUCCACAGGUCACGCAGGAGCUGGAGUGUCCCAGUCCCCCAGGCACAGGGUCACAGGGAGGAACCAGAGUAUAGCUCUCAGGUGUGAUCCAGUAUCUGGUCACAAUGGCCUUUACUGGUACCGACAGGCACUGGGGCAGGGCCUGGAGUUUCUGACUUAUUUUCAGAGCAAAGAAGAACCAGACAAAUUAGAGCUGCGUAAUGACCGGUUCUCUGCUAAGAGGCCCGAGGGCUCCGUCUCCCACCUGACGAUUCUGCGAGUGGAGCCGCAGGACUCGGCUGUGUAUCUCUGUGCCAGCAGCUUAGUCACAGUGUGGCACAGCCACCUCCUUCCUGUUCACAAACCCCCUCCGUCUCUUUCCUUGCAGCUCCUAGGGGCUUUUGGCCUGUGGAUCAGAGCAUUUAGUGGGGACAGCCCUCUUCUGUCCCUGACCAUGCGAUGA